UGAUAUGCUUGUCUCAAAGACUAAGCCAUGCAAGUCUAAGUACAUGCCGAAUUAAGGUGAAACCGCGAAUGGCUCAUUAAAUCAGUUAUGGUUCCUUAGAUCGUACUUUUCUACUUGGAUAACUGUGGCAAUUCUAGAGCUAAUACAUGCAGCAGAGCUCCGACCUUCGGGGACGAGCGCUUUUAUUAGACCAAGACCAAUCGGACCUCGGUCCGUAUACCACGGCGACUCUGGAUAACUUUGGGCUGAUCGCACGAUCUAGCAUCGGCGAUAUUUCUUUCAAGUGUCUGCCUUAUCAACUGUCGAUGGUAGGUUAUGCGCCUACCAUGGUCGUAACGGGUAACGGGGAAUCAGGGUUCGAUUCCGGAGAGGGAGCCUGAGAAACGGCUACCACAUCCAAGGAAGGCAGCAGGCGCGCAAAUUACCCACUCCCGGCACGGGGAGGUAGUGACGAAAAAUAACAAUACGGGACUCUCUUGAGGCCCCGUAAUUGGAAUGAGUACAAUCUAAAUCCUUUAACGAGGAUCUAUUGGAGGGCAAGUCUGGUGCCAGCAGCCGCGGUAAUUCCAGCUCCAAUAGCGUAUAUUAAAGUUGUUGCGGUUAAAAAGCUCGUAGUUGGAUCUCAGUUACAGACAGGCGGUCCACCUUACGGUGGCUACUGCCUGGCCUGAACGUCCUGCCGGUUUUCUCUCGGUGCUCUUCAUUGAGUGUCUUGAGUGGCCGGCACGUUUACUUUGAAAAAAUUAGAGUGCUCAAAGCAGGCGUGACGCCUGAAUAAUGGUGCAUGGAAUAAUGGAAUAGGACCUCGGUUCUAUUGUGUUGGUUUUCGGAACACGAGGUAAUGAUUAAGAGGGACAGACGGGGGCAUUCGUAUUGCGACGCUAGAGGUGAAAUUCUUGGACCGUCGCAAGACGAACUACUGCGAAAGCAUUUGCCAAGAAUGUUUUCAUUAAUCAAGAACGAAAGUUAGAGGUUCGAAGGCGAUCAGAUACCGCCCUAGUUCUAACCACAAACGAUGUUGACCAGCGAUCCGCCUGAGUUUCUCAAUUGACUCGGCGGGCAGCUUCCGGGAAACCAAAGUUUUUCAAUUCCGGGGGAAGUAUGGUUGCAAAGUUGGAAC
rnacentral:rRNA from 1 species